rnacentral:misc_RNA from 1 species
AGGAACAUCAUUUUCAAUGGAAAACCAAAUUGUCAUUCAUUAGGUAGAAGAAACCAUCCAAGAAGUGUACCGUUGUAAUUACACUAAAAAACGAAAUUCUAGUACACAAAUCAGCUUCAUGGAUUGAAUUAGCACAACAAAUUCCAAUAUAAUACCUCUAGCCACCUCAAGUUUUGUCUAUCACCCAAAAGACAAGCAAAACUUUGUUUUUCUCAUACCUUUAGUGCACAUUCUCCUGCAACUAUAUGUAUCUAUUAGUCCACAUUAUGUCAACAAAGUUUCAAUAACUACAAUUUAAAGAAGAGAAAAGCAAAGAUGCAUGCUACUCAUAAAGGUUUAAGGCCAUAUCCCAAGGACCCUGGCAGCGAAAGACAAUAACUUCUCUCUUACCCAACCCGGGAAAGCCCUAUUUCCCUAUGCAAUGAAGAGUAUCUCUGGUUUUACACACUGGCAGAAAACUAUAUUUCCCCAUUAAUGAAACCCUAUUCAGAAUACACAAACAAAAGGCAUCAAAAUCAUCCGUAAAUGCAAGGCAAUUCUAGUGAAGAGAACCCUCACGUGCACAAGCAUAAACCACUUGACUGCAGAACAUUAACAAAGACUCAAAAUAACACGUACCUAUAAUAGAAAAUUGCUUCAAUGGAACUAGCAAGAAGGUAAAGAAACAAGCAAAAAAUUCAACAAGAUGGACCGACACUCCUGCCCUCUUCACUUCCAGACCUUUGCUGUUGCUGUUGGGUUGGCUGAGGUUGUUGCGGUUGAAUCAAAAGCUGUGCCUGAAGCUGAUGAUGAUGGUGCUCCGCUUGAGGUUGAAUCUGGAAAGGGUUGUCAUAGGUGCCCAGAGCCAAAGAAGGUGACAUAGCAGAAGCGGAACUUAGCUGAUUGUAUCCAGUUGCAGUAACCGAACCUGCUGCGUCAAAUCCGCUAUUAAAUCUCACAAGCUCUUGCUGGUGCUGUGAUUGAUUUUGGUGCUGUUGGUGCCGCUGCUGCUGCUGAUCAUAAGCCCUAAACAUCUCCUGCUGGUCUCUUACGGCCAUAGCGGCAGCCAAUUGCUGAGCCUCAAAGAAUUGCUGCUGCUGAUGAUGUGUUGAAUGCUGGUGUGGCUGCUGUGGAUGGUCUCUUAUCAUAAGUUGCCCGCCAUGCGCUGGCCCGGUAGGAAUACCCAUCAUCGGCAACAUAUUAUGGGGCAUGACAUUCGAAGCAGAGGGAUUACCCAGAUGCUGUUGUGGCAUAAACGUCGGGGGUUGCAGAAUGGGAAGCAUUGCACUAGGCCCGAUAUACUGUGCCAACUCUUUCUUGGCAUGGUAGAGGUCAUUCUGGAGUUGCUUGAGUCUUUGUUGAAGGAUGGAUAUUAGACCCACGCAGCCAUAGACAGGAUCGCGGAGACGCUCCUCAGCUUCAUAAGCAAGGGAAUUGACGGCAUCUUCUCGUUGGGCAGUGCUAAGCUCGUUGAGAAGCUUGGCGACAUUGCUGGCACCAAAUACCCUGUGGACACUGGAAAACUUUAGAGGCUGAUCCGGUGGAAAAUACGGUGCAAAAACGCAUUCUUGCGUGCAUUUUCGCCUGAGAAACUUGCACGCCGCACAUGGCGAGUUCGAUGAUGACAUUUUCUCUUCCCUCUUACCAACUCAGGAUACCUUUUAUUAAUUUCGCUAAAGAAAACAAAAGAAAAUCAUGAAACUGUUUCUUCUCAGAUCAAUCUAAAGCACCUGCAUGAUUCAAACACCAACCGUCAACAUGAACUGCAAACCAAAAAAUACGACACCGUUUACAACCAAAAAGGCAGAUAGAAACCUUCCACACAGCGAGAG